rnacentral:rRNA from 1 species
CUUGGUCAUUUAGAGGAAGUAAAAGUCGUAACAAGGUCUCCGUAGGUGAACCUGCGGAGGGAUCAUUACAGAGUUCGUGCCCUUACGGGUAGAUCUCCCACCCUGUGUUAUUAUACCUUUGUUGCUUUGGCGGGCCGCCCUCGGCUACCGGCCCCGGCUGGUAUGCGCCCGCCAGAGGACCCCAAACUCUGAAUGUUAGUGUCGUCUGAGUACUAUACAAUAGUUAAAACUUUCAACAACGGAUCUCUUGGUUCUGGCAUCGAUGAAGAACGCAGCGAAAUGCGAUAAGUAAUGUGAAUUGCAGAAUUCAGUGAAUCAUCGAAUCUUUGAACGCACAUUGCGCCCCUUGGUAUUCCGAGGGGCAUGCCUGUUCGAGCGUCAUUUCAACCCUCAAGCACAGCUUGGUCUUGGGCUUCGCCGCUAACCCGGCGGGUCUUAAAAUCAGUGGCGGUGCCGUCUGGCUCUAAGCGUAGUAAUUCUCUCGCUAUAGGGUCCAGGUGGUUACUUGUCAGAAUCCCCCACUUUUAUAGGUUGACCUCGGAUCAGGUAGGGAUACCCGCUGAACUUAAGCAUAUCAAUAAGCGGAGGA